AAAAACCCUCACUCCACACCUCCUCCCUCCCCACGAACACCAUGCGCCCGCCGCGGCUCAGCGCCGCCGCUGCCGCCGCCUCGCGACCGCUCUCCUGGCGCCCGUACUGCACGGCCGCGGCUUCGAACGACCCCGCCGACGCCGAAGCCGAAGCUGCCGCCGCGUCCGCGUCCCGACCGCGCGAGCCGCUCUCGGCCCACUUCACCAACCGCCGCCCCGCCGCGCGCGCCCCGGCCGUGGUGAGGGACCUCUCCUCUGCGCUCCGCGCCAUCCUCGCUACCUCCCCGUCCUCCCACUCCCGCGCGUACCCGCUGCUCAAGUCCGCCGCCUUCGACGCCCGCCUCGCGCCGGACGCGCUCGUCGACGCCGUCCUCUCCGCCGCCGACGGGCCCAAGUCACCGCACGCCACCGCGCUCCUCAGCCGCCUCCUCGCCUCCCUAUGCCGGUCCGGACGCGCUGGCGCGGCGGCCGCCGCCUACGCCACGAUGGAGGCCCGCGGGGUCAUCCCGGACGCCAAGUCCCGCACCGAUCUCCUCGGCGUUACUGCGCGGAGCGCGUCGGCCGCGCGUGCCCUAGCGCUGCUCGCCGAGAUGCGGGGGAAGGGGCACCCCCUGGACGCGUGGAUGUUCGACGUGGUGAUGCGCGCUUGCUUCAAGGAAGGGAUGUACUGUGACGCGGUCAGGCUGUUCGACGAAAUGCCUGGUUCUGAGAUCGAGCCCGACCAGCGUGUGUACUCUGUCGCUAUCGUGGCCCUCUGUAAGCUUCGUGAUGCCAACCGUGCACUGCUGGUGCUGAGGAGGAUGCAGGAUGCGGGGUUCGUGCCAUGGGACUUCACGUACAACUCUGUUGUGGAUGUGCUUGUGAAGGAAGGGAGGAUGGAGGAGGCGCUACACAUUAAGGAUGAGUUGCUGGCCACCGGGAAGAAAAUGAGUGUGGUUCUUGCAACAACAUUGAUGCAUGGCUAUUGCUUGCAACGAGAGGUUAGGAAAGCGCUGGAUAUAUUUGAGGAGACAACAAGGGAUGGUCUGGUGCCAAACAAUAUAACAUAUACGGUGCUAAUCAGAGGUUGUACUGAAGAGGGGAUGCCAGAGAAAGCCUAUGAGCUGUGUCGCCAGAUGAGAGAUCAUGGGUUGUUGCCAAGCGCAUAUGAGUUCAAUAUGGUUAUCAAGGGCCUUCUGAAUGAUAAAUGGUGGAAAGAUGCUGUAAACUUGUUCGAGGAGAUGUCUGAUUCUGGGAUACCAGAUGUCUUCACAUACAAUAUACUAAUUCACUGGCUCUGCCAGCAUCGCAAACUCCGUGAAGCGCUUAAUUUGUGGGAAAAGAUGAAUCAAACAGGAGUGGAACCAUCUAUGGUGACGUACAACAGCUUGUUGUUGUGUUAUUGUGUGAAUGGGUGCAUGGAUGAAGCAAUGAAGCUAUACACUGAGAUGCCUGAAAAAGGACUCACACCCAAUGUUGUCACUUACACAACUCUGAUGAAAGGGCAUAUCAAUAAGGCUGCUUUUGACAAGGCCUAUGCUCUCCUUGAUGACAUGAAACAGAAUGGGGUUUCUUGCAAUGAUUAUACAUACAACACUCUCAUAAAUGGUCUCUGUAUGGUUGGUCGAGUUUGUGAAGUUGGUGAGAUGCUGAAGAGAUUUGAAAGUGAAGGUUUUGUUCCAACUGCAAUGACAUACAAUAGUAUCAUCAAUGGAUUUAUAAAAGGUGGCAUGAUGGGCUCAGCAUUUGUUAUAUAUCAGCAGAUGUGUGAAAAAGGUAUACCUCCCAACAUAAUAACAUAUACCAGUUUCAUUCAUGGAUAUUGUAAGACCAGUUGCUGUGACCUGGCACUGAAGCUGCUAAAUGGUGUGAGGUGCAAAGGCCUUCGACCUGACAUUGCCGCAUAUAAUUCCUUAAUAAAUGGGUUUUGCCAAGAGGGGAAUAUGUCAUAUGCACUACAAUUUCUUGUUUUUAUGCUGAAAGAUGGUUUAUUACCAAAUAUUUCCAUCUACAACAGUUUUAUUACAGGGUACAAGAAUUUGAAAAUGAUGGAAGAAGCUUUGAGAUUCUAUGAGAAAAUUAUCAAAGAAGGAAUUGCUAUUGAUACAGCAACGUACACUACCUUAAUUGAUGGGUUCUCAAAAGAGGGCAAUGUAACCUUUGCAUUGAAACUGUACUCAGAGAUGAUGGCAAAGGGUAAUAUUCCUGAUCAUAUUACUUUCACAGCAUUAACACAUGGCCUUUGCCGCAGUGGAGACGUUGAUGGUGCUAGGAAAUUAUUGGAUGAAAUGAAUAGGUUAGAUAUUCGCCCUAAUGUUUUGAUUUAUAACAUGUUGAUAAACGGAUACAUCCGUGAUGGAAAGCUGCAAGAAGCGUUCCAGUUGCAUGAUGAUAUGCUUGAAAGGGGAAUUAUGCCCGAUGAUACAACAUAUGACAUACUAGUUAGCAUGAAAUCUUUGAAAAGUGACAGUCCCAUUGAUGUGGAGAAUCCUACUUGAACUUCCACCAGUUAAGGAUCAAGAGCUGGUUUGAGGAGAUAAACAUUUCAUUGUAUGGUCAGUGUCAAGUUGUGAGUUUUUCUGGAUAUAAAGUGAAACCUUAGGUAAGGCAAAUAGAAGCGAAGGUAAAUUACAUCGUGACUUUGAAGUUUUUUGCCAUUUUCAUAAGGUGAAACAGGAUGUUUCUCAUCAAGCCUUGACUUUUAGAUUAUUAUGAACACACAUAUAAAAGAUUUUUCAUCGCUGAAGACACCAAACUAGAAAGAAGAUACACUGUAAAGGGAAAAAAAGCAGUUCGAUUGGAUCCGGGCCAUGGAGGAGGAGAGCACCAUGCCGCCACCUGCAUCCUCAGCGCCGUCGCUUGCGAGUCCGCCCUUAGCGUCGGCGCUAGCGGCCACGUCCCCGCCCUCAGCGUCGGCGCCGGCGCCUACAUCCCCGACCCCGCCGCCGGCGGCGGGAGCAGCGGAGGUGGCAGUAGUGGCAGCGGCGGAGGGGGUGGGUUGCCGCCGAUAGUGUACCCGCCGCCGACGGGGGCGAGGCGGCGCUGUGCUGCGUGGCGAAGCUGACGGUGCUGGACCUGAUCAUCCAGGAGGUGAUGGACUACGCGUGCGGCUCUAGCGCGGAGUGCGGGUCGAUCCAGCCGAGCGGCCGCCCACGCCUCCUUCACCUUCAACAGCUACUAGCAGAUCACCAAGGCCAUCGGCGGCACCUGUGACUUUGGCGGCAUCACCACCAUCGUCACCUGAGACCCAAGCUAUGAGAAGCGUCAAUUUGACCUACUGUGAAGUGGUUGCAGUAUAUUUAAAAUAUAUUCUCAUAAUUUUCUUAAAUUUCACAUUGUUUUCUCUGUUUAGUUUUUAGAUCAUAUAUUUUCAUUUGCAACUAUACAAUUUACUUAUUAUACAUAAUUUAUAUUUAAAAUAUAUUCUCAUAAUUUUCUUAAAUCAUGUUUUUUCACAUUGUUGAUUCUACGUAAUUAUUACCACUAUCAUCUCGCUGUCACAGAUGGCAAUGACAAAAGGCAGUGCUAUGCUAUAGAGGAGCAAAUGUCACGAGGGCAAAUUCGUCCUUUCUCCGGUUCAAACAGAUGCUAACAUCCAAACUGCCAUCGUCAGUGGUAUGCUAUAGAGAUUCAACAAAAUGGAGGGCAUAUUGUAGAACUUAGCAAACUCAAUGGCAUAUCGUAGAAAGGUGACAAAGUCAGUGGCACACACUGGAUUUUCUCAAUUUUAAAUAUAACCUUAUUUAUAUUGAUGGUAAUAUUAGUACUUUCUCCGUUUCACAAUGUAAGACUUUCUAGCCUUGUCUAGAUUCAUAUGGAUG